GAGCAAAAUCUCAACUUUAUUAGAAGAGACGCAUUUAUUAGAUAAAAAGCCAGUUCAUGCUUUUAUAGUAUGAAAAUUGGUGAUUUAUAAUAACUUAGCAAAUCGCAAAGUGAAAACAGGCGAUAAAUCAUUCAAGUUUCUGACCUAUCAGCUUUCGACGGUAUGGUAUUGGCUUACCGUGGCAGUGACGGUUAACGGGGGAUUAGGGUUCGAUUCCGGAGAGGGAGCCUGAGAAACGGCUACCACAUCUAAGGAAGGCAGCAGGCGCGCAAAUUACCCAAUUCUAACAGUUUGAGAGAGGUAGUAACAAGAAAUAACAAUACAAGGCAGUUAAAAUGCUUUGUAAUUGGAAUGAUAGAAAUUUAAACCCUUUUUAAAGUAUCAAUUGGAGGGCAAGUCUGGUGCCAGCAGCCGCGGUAAUUCCAGCUCCAAUAGCGUAUAUUAAAAUUGUUGCAGUUAAAAAGCUCGUAGUUGAAGUUCUGCUGAAAGUAACCGGUCUGCUUUUAAUAAAAGUGGUAUCUUGGUAUGUAUUUAGCAAUGAUGUCCUUUGAAGUGUUUUUUUCUUUAUUGUAAUAAAGCAUAUUCAGGACUUUUACUUUGAGAAAA
rnacentral:rRNA from 1 species